GCAAGCGGAGGGCGCGGUCGAAAGAUCGUGGCCCCGCACACUGCUCAGUAACACGUAGUUAACCUACCCUUGGGACGGGGACAACCUCGGGAAACUGAGGCUAAUCCCCGAUAGGUGAGGGACGCUGGAAUGCCUCCUCGCCCAAAGCUCCGGCGCCCGAGGAUGGGACUGCGGCCUAUCAGGCUGUUGGUGGUGUGACGGACCACCAAACCUACGACGGGUACGGGCGAUGGGAGUCGGAGCCUGGAGAUGGGGACUGAGACAAGGCCCCAGGCCCUACGGGGCGCAGCAGGCGCGAAAACUCCGCAAUGCGCGCAAGCGUGACGGGGGAACCCCAAGUGCCGUUGGUCUUUUGAUCGACGGCUUUUCGGAAGUCCAAUAAGCUUCCGGAAUAAGGGCUGGGCAAGACUGGUGCCUGCCGCCGCGGUAACACCAGCAGCCCAAGUGGUGGCCGCGAUUAUUGGGCCUAAAGCGCUCGUAGCCGGAUCAGCAAGUCCUUCGUGAAAUCGGACCGCCCAACGGUUCGGCGUGCAAAGGAUACUGUUGGUCUUGAGACCGGGAGAGGUCGGAGGUACUCUUGGGGUAGCGGUGAAAUGCUGUAAUCCUGGGGGGACCACCAGUGGCGAAGGCGUCCGACCAGAACGGAUCUGACGGUGAGGGGCGAAGGCUAGGGGAGCGAACGGGAUUAGAUACCCCGGUAGUCCUAGCUGUAAAGCAUGCGGGCCAGGUGUCUAGCGCUCCUUGAG
rnacentral:rRNA from 1 species